CUGACAGCCCCAGAGGACAAACUCUGUAUUAAUCUACUGAGCAGGCACAGUAGCUGCAGUGCAAGCUGCUCUGUCCUGCUAAUGUAUGUGCUGCAGCCUCUGCUGGGAGUGGGUCAGUCCCAGGGGGUGCAGUGUUAGCUCAGACUUUGCAGCGUCUAACCUCAACAAAA
rnacentral:sRNA from 7 species